rnacentral:piRNA from 1 species
GCUGCCUCGUGCUGUCGAGCUUCUGG